CGAGGAAUAUUGCGCAAUGGAGGAAACUCUGACGCAGUAACGCCGCGUGAGGGAUGAAGGCUUUCGGGUCGUAAACCUCUUUUUGGGGGGACGAGUGAGGACGGUACCCUCAGAAUAAGUCUCGGCUAACUACGUGCCAGCAGCCGCGGUAAAACGUAGGAGGCGAGCGUUAUCCGGAUUCACUGGGCGUAAAGCGCGUGUAGGUGGUCGGUCAAGUCGGGUGUUAAAGCCCCUGGCUCAACUAGGGGAGGUCAUCCGAAACUGAUCGACUUGAGGGUAACAGAGGAGAGUGGAACUCCCGGUGUAGCGGUGGAAUGCGUAGAGAUCGGGAAGAACACCAGUGGCGAAGGCGACUCUCUGGGUUACAUCUGACACUGAGACGCGAAAGUGUGGGGAGCAAACAG
rnacentral:rRNA from 1 species